UACGAAGGGAGCUAGCGUUGUUCGGAAUUACUGGGCGUAAAGGGCGCGUAGGCGGCGCCAUAAGUCAGAUGUGAAAGCCCCGGGCUUAACCUGGGAGGUGCAUUUGAUACUGUGGGGCUAGAGAUCGAGAGAGGAAAGUGGAAUUACGAGUGUAGAGGUGAAAUUCGUAGAUAUUCGUAAGAACACCAGUGGCGAAGGCGACUUCUGGCUCGAUACUGACGCUAAGGCGCGAAAGCGUGGGGAGCAAACAGGG
rnacentral:rRNA from 1 species